UACGUAGGGUGCAAGCGUUAAUCGGAAUUACUGGGCGUAAAGCGUGCGCAGGCGGUUAUGUAAGACAGAUGUGAAAUGCCCGGGCUUAACCUGGGAACUGCAUUUGUGACUGCAUGGCUAGAGUUUGGCAGAGGGGGGUAGAAUUCCACGUGUAGCAGUGAAAUGCGUAGAGAUGCGGAGGAACACCGAUGGCGAAGGCAGCCCCCUGGGUCGACACUGACGCUCAGGCACGAAAGCGUGGGGAGCAAACGAGG
rnacentral:rRNA from 1 species